GACGAACGCUGGCGGCGUGCCUAAUACAUGCAAGUCGAACGCAGUGGGGACGGGUGAGUAACACGUGGGUAACCUCCCAUCAGAGGGGAUAACACUUGGAAACAGGUGCUAAACCGAUACUGAUGGAUGGACCCGCGGUGCAUUAGCUAGUUGGUGAGGUAACGGCUCACCAAGGCCACGAUGCGUAGCCGCCCGGUGAGGAUGACCGGCCACACUGGUACGGAGACACGGCCCAGACUCCUACGGGAGGAGGCAGUGGGGAAUAUUGGGCAAUGGGCGAAAGUCUGACCGAGCAAGGCCGCGUGAAUGAAGAAGGUUUUCGGAUCGUAAAGUUCUGUGGUUAGAGAAGCGUUAUCUAACGAAAAAGCAACGGCUAACUACGUGCCAGCAGCCGCGGUAAUAC
rnacentral:rRNA from 1 species